rnacentral:rRNA from 1 species
CGGGGUUUUUUUACCCCCCGGGGAAAACUACAAUCAUAAGCGGAGGAAAAGAAACCAACAGGGAUUGCCCUAGUAACGGCGAGUGAAGCGGCAACAGCUCAAAUUUGAAAUCUGGCGUCUUUGGCGUCCGAGUUGUAAUUUGCAGAGGGCGCUUUGGCAUUGGCAGCGGUCCAAGUUCCUUGGAACAGGACGUCACAGAGGGUGAGAAUCCCGUACGUGGUCGCUAGCCUUUACCGUGUAAAGCCCCUUCGACGAGUCGAGUUGUUUGGGAAUGCAGCUCUAAAUGGGAGGUAAAUUUCUUCUAAAGCUAAAUACUGGCCAGAGACCGAUAGCGCACAAGUAGAGUGAUCGAAAGAUGAAAAGCACUUUGGAAAGAGAGUUAAAAAGCACGUGAAAUUGUUGAAAGGGAAGCGCUUGCAGCCAGACUUGCCUGUAGUUGCUCAUCCGGGUUUUUACCCGGUGCACUCUUCUACGGGCAGGCCAGCAUCAGUUUGGGCGGUUGGAUAAAGGUCUCUGUCAUGUACCUCCUCUCGGGGAGAACUUAUAGGGGAGACGACAUGCAACCAGCCCGGACUGAGGUCCGCGCAUCUGCUAGGAUGCUGGCGUAAUGGCUGUAAGCGGCCCGUCUUGAAACACGGACCAAGGAGUCUAACAUCUAUGCGAGUGUUUGGGUGUCAAGCCCGAGCGCGUAAUGAAAGUGAACGGAGGUGGGAACCUUUCGGGGUGCACCAUCGACCGAUCCUGAUGUCUUCGGAUGGAUUUGAGUAAGAGCAUAGCUGUUGGGACCCGAAAGAUGGUGAACUAUGCUUGAAUAGGGUGAAGCCAGAGGAAACUCUGGUGGAGGCUCGCAGCGGUUCUGACGUGCAAAUCGAUCGUCAAAUUUGGGCAUAGGGGCGAAAGACUAAUCGAACUAUCUAGUAGCUGGUUCUGCAGAUUCCCCCCCCCCAGAUAAAACCCCAAAGGUAAAUUU